AGAACGAACGCUGGCGGCAUGCCUAACACAUGCAAGUCGAACGAGACCUUCGGGUCUAGUGGCGCACGGGUGCGUAACGCGUGGGAAUCUGCCCUUAGGUUCGGAAUAACUCAGAGAAAUCCGAGCUAAUACCGGAUGAUGACGUAAGUCCAAAGAUUUAUCGCCUAAGGAUGAGCCCGCGUAGGAUUCGCUUGUUGGUGAGGUAAAAGCUCACCAAGGCGACGAUCCUUAGCUGGUCUGAGAGGAUGAUCAGCCACACUGGGACUGAGACACGGCCCAGACUCCUACGGGAGGCAGCAGUGGGGAAUAUUGGACAAUGGGCGAAAGCCUGAUCCAGCAAUGCCGCGUGAGUGAUGAAGGCCUUAGGGUUGUAAAGCUCUUUACCCGGGAUGAUAAUGACAGUACCGGAGAAUAAGCUCCGGCUAACUCCGCGCCAGCAGCCUC
rnacentral:rRNA from 1 species